CGAUAGUGGUUUAUUAGGACCGAUAGUGGUUUAUUAUGAGAAUUCUGGGACUUUCGGCGAAAAGUCGGUGACGCUCCCCCCACGUGCUUGACUUCCCUCGAGGCCUCACAAACAAAAGGUAAAGCAGGAACCUGUUCGUAAAUUCUGCAUAUUGUUUACGUUAUUCUUUUAGUGAAUAACUCAAAUUGUGGGGAAGUGAAGUAUGUGGACGGCAUAGCGCACCUGUAUAAGUUUUGUGGUUCACCCUCCUGAAACAGCAGAUUGGAUCUAGGAAAUUUAUGAAAUUGAAUCUAAGGAAAUUGUGCAGGUUUUGUGUCUGUUCAGCCUGUCAAAAUUGAAAAUAUUAAAUUGGGAGCGGGUGAUAUUUGGAUUACGUUAAAAUUUAGGAGGUUUUGCGUCUGUUUGAGCCUGUACGAAAUCCCGUACGAAAACAACAGUGUUACUAUAGGAACUAAUUUUGCGCGUUUUAGGAUUUUCGGAAAAACCAGGAAGGCAGCGAACCUUCACAAAUUAUUUUUAAUGCGUAGAGAAACCACAGAGGGAUUCACAGUAAAAAUGAAAGGUGCGUUAGACAGAAAAAAUGAGGAAACCGGUGAAUUUUCUUUUGACGACAGACUUAAUGACGUAGACGACUUGACUUUACAACAGCGGUGAAAAUGGCUUGAAUGAGAAUGAAUGGAAUGAAAUGUAUGCGAUUUUGGAAAGAAUGGGAUGAAAAUGUUUGAAAUCUGUGUAUUUUAACUGUAUUUUCCACAUUUCCCUGUGUAUUGUCUGCUCCAUGGACGCAGCCAUCUUGUUCAUCAUGUUUACAUCGAACGGACCAAUGACGGGACGUUUUACUUGUUUUCGAAUGUGUAGACGAUUGUGAUUGGUUUUGUCUGUACCACGUGGUAAGCGUGACGGAGUCCUAGCCAAAAUGGCGACGGUGGCUGUGAUUUGCUUUGUUCGUACCACGUGGUUAGCGAGUCGGCGUUCCUAGCGACCAACAUGGCGGACCGGCGCUGAACUUUCACAAACAAAUCUGGAGAAUUUGGGACCUAGUUUGCGGUACAAUCAUCGCGGGGAUUGUCUUAUUGGGCUUAAUCAUGACCUCGGUUGUAAAACAGCGUUGAAAAACAAAUUUCAGUGGGUUUUCGGUUCGCCGAAAAAGGUUUUUAUGUUGCACAGCGCCUCCGACGGGAGCCUCUGCUGCAACGGCGAUCAGCGUGCAUGGUUGCAGGGUCUAAUACAUUUGGGGUAAAAUAAUUUUGUAAUUAUUUCGGUUUUCUUAUUGUGAAUACAUGUCUCUAAUUUGUUUGUAUGUCCUAAUAACCGCGAUUAAGUUCAGCUUUGUUUAAAGAAGUAUUAUUGACAUUUUUAAUUUGUUUAAGUUCGUUUUUCUGUUUGUUUUGAUCUUGACUUGUGCACUGCUGUUUGAAUGAGAAGCGAAUGAGUGGCGGUUUUGUUUGUUUGAAUCGUAAUCAAUAGUAUUUGAAAAUUGUUUUCAGAAUGGGGAAAAGGACGAGGUAAAGGAAAGGGAAACAUGGUUUUUGAGGAUUUGGAAGGAUGUUGCAAUGUAGAGACAAGAAAUGUGAGGUGAAAAGCAGGAGAAAUGAAAGGCAUUGUAAGUAAAAUGGAGGGUCUGUGGGCAUGGAAAAGUGUGGUAUGAAAGUGCAGGGUAUGGUAGAACAGGAGAAGAGGGAACAUGAAUGUGAAAACGCUAGUUAUGAACGAUUCAUUUCAGUGAAAUGGUUUAAUUUUGUGUAAGGUACCUAAUUUGUUGUGUUAUGUCUUUUGCAAAAACGGUUAAAAGUUAUAGUCUUUGUAUUGAUUGUCUGUGUUUUAGAGUGAGAAUUGUGUUUUUGGUUAAAUAAGGAAAAGCUUAAAUUGUGGGAUUUUGUUGCUUUUAGUACUUCUCCAAAUUCUUUUUGUAGGGCAAAAACAGUCCUUAAGGGUAAGUCAAAACCAUUUGUCUUUGUUUCUUGAUUAAGAGUGAAGGAAAAGCUGCCAGAAUGCAUGUAAGACAACAUAUUUUCCAAAGAUUUUACUCCAGGUCCGUCAUUUCGGCCAAAGAAAAUUUUAGGGAUUUUUUCCCCUUGCUGGCUUUCAUUACUGAUCAACUGACGGUGUUGGAGACGGUGAAGACUGAACAUGACUAAUACAUUUCUAAAUCUCUUUCCAAGCAGAAGAGCAGACCUCAUAAAUCUUUACGCAGAAAACCACCCUCUGCUUCAAACCCCCCUCUGCUACGUGGAGACAGCAGUAAUGACGUGUCAUGCUCAGCCAUUCGGAGACCAAAACAGGAGGACUGGUGGAAAAAUCCUGGGAGAAGCAGGCCACCCAGGGGACCCCAGCAGCAGUUGGAAAUGGCAUCUAUGGCGCUCUGACCCCUGACAGCCCACAACGAGGUGCCCAACAGCAGAAUGUACAGACCAAGAGGCAGAUGGUCUGGAGGAAAAAUGAACAGUACCCAUGACCACUCCAAGCCCUCCUCCACCGUGGCGAGGACCACAGGGCAAGUCGGACAACACCACUUGAUGCAGGAGCCAUUGUCUUUUUCAAGCUCAAAGGUAACCACUGAUGAGUCUACUGGACACUCUACCUGCUCUGACAAAUGAACAAAUGACUCCUCAAAACCUGCAAAAGACCAUCCGAAUGACUUUUGACCAGAUGGUGGAACAUUCAUGCGUGCAUUCACCAAACACGCCUGCAAAUCUGUUGGGAUGGGACAGUCUUGUCAAAACAGGAGACAGCAGACUGGAUGCCAUGCCGGACACCACAGCCGACCCCCACUGCAGACAUGUAAAGGGCCCUGAAACGCCAGGUGGUUUCGUUAAUUUCAGGUUUGAAGCCUGGACUCCUGUGUUUGAAGCCUCCGAAUGGUCUGACCGGUACACUCCAUUAUGACAGAGAGCAUGAUUAACAGUAAGAAAUAUUUCAGCAGGUAUUUGAACUACACUGACAUAUAUUAACCCUGAGGGCGAGCGGCUUAUUGUGCAUUCAUACACUCACAAAUGCAAUGAUACUAGCUGUCAGACACAGCUGUAUCUCACAUAGGAUUAGACUAAGCAGGACAUUAACAACACAUUGGUUGAGUUGUGUUUUUCAGGUGUUCACUUUCCUCCCUCAAUAAAAAUGUACAGGUUAAUUUUGCCGUUCAACAACUGAGCAGAGAGGAGACGGCUCAUGAAGAUGCAGAGGUGAUGUUAAAACGCUCUCUGAUGCUUCAUGGUCCACAGGUUCAGUUGAUGUUGGUUCAUUCUUCAUCGUCCCCCCGGUGGUGAUUCAGGUAACUGCAGGAGCACAGGUUUUUAGAUCUCAGUGCAGCUGAGUGACUGAUGCAGAUGAAGGGAGGAAGGAAACUCAGUCUGGGCUGUAGAACUAUAGUGUCAUUGAAUAUUCGUAUUCUUCAUAGUUUACUUUAGGAAAGCGGUUUUAAAAGCUGAUGGAUCGUAUGGCAUAUAAUUUAAGCUAAUGUUAAUUUAAGUUGAUGACGUCACCAUUAUUAUAAAACCUAUACGUCCCUGAUCCAUAUUGCAUGCUGUCACCUUUAACCUCACAAGGUGUGUUGUUUGUUGCUAUUGCUUUAGCACACGUUUUCUUUUAAUGGAAUCAUUACAUAAAAAUAGCAGACCAUUGUUCGCAUUAUUGUACAGAGGGGUUCAUAAAAUCCUUCUUGCAUUUUUGAUCACUGUUUAAAGUCUCUCUGACAGAACAUUAUGCUAUAAGAGGUUUGUGUUUUGCUAAUACAGGUGGAUGACAUCUGCCUGCAAUUAAUGAAAGAUCUUCUGUUGCAGUUGUAUUAUUUCUUCUUGUGACCUUGCCUUUUACAGGAACGUGGACAGGACGCCUGUUCACCUUAUCGAUGCACCAAACAGUUUAUUGUUUUUAUGUUCUUGCUUUACAUUUAAUUCGUUUUAUGUGUUUGUCCUGGAGCUUAGCCCCAGGCCAAGAGAGGGAGGUAGACAAAAGAGGUCUUAAUGAUUAAAAGAAGGACAUUAUUUUAUUAUCGUUUAAAUGUAUUUGUCUAGAAAGAGAUUGACCAUUUAGAAAGAAUGUUUAAAUAGUAACACAGAUUGACCAUUUUUAAAAAUUUUAAAGCUUUGUGUGUCUGUUCAUCUGAUUUUCUCUCAUCCACAGCAAGGAUGAGUAGGUUCUACGACUGGGUCAUUACACAACAGCCCAUAAUAAACUUUUUUCUUUUUUCUUGAAUUUGUAUUUUCCCCACUUGUGUUCUUCAUAAAACAGCACGAGGGGAAGCAGACCUUUGAGAAGAGAAAUGUGGUGGACCUUUUCCAUCAUAUUUUCUCUUACUGCGCAUGCGUAAAUUGAUUCUUGUCUCAUUGUCUUUUGUGUUUUAUUGUUUUUUAUUUUUUAAUUUCCUGACCCUAACACUAACAAAAACUUAGACCCACAGCAGAAUCAUCUUGGCAGAACAGUACCACAGCAGUGGACACCCCAAGUCCUUUUGCAGCCGUUCUGUUGUAUCAGAUGUGUCAGAUCUCUAACAGGCUUAUUGAGAAGUCCAUAGGAGGCCAGGUCCAAGCUUGCCAGAGCUUGUGGGACAUGCAGAAGGAGGACGCGAGUGUUCGAGGCCCGGAAUGACCUUUUUUGGACUUUGUUACAUUUUAUAAAAUUGCUUACUGUUAUGUUUGACAAUUUU